rnacentral:rRNA from 1 species
UGAGGAAUAUUGGUCAAUGGGCGAGAGCCUGAACCAGCCAAGUCGCGUGAGGGAAGACGGUCCUAUGGAUUGUAAACCUCUUUUGCCGGGGAGCAAAGAGCGGCACGUGUGCCACGCCGAGAGUACCCGGAGAAAAAGCAUCGGCUAACUCCGUGCC